CAAAUUGAAAGGCAAGAUGAAGCUUUAACUCAUAACCGAGCAUAGAUUAAUGAUCACCUUCACAAGGGGAUCGCAAGGAAUCAUGUCGAGACGGAAUCAAGCACGGAAGGCUAACGGGUCAAGAAGUGGCGAAGAAACAAAUAUGAAUACGGAUGCACGAGGAACGAGAAUAUCGGAUUCUUACGAAAUUUAAGCUCUACCUGAAAUAAGAGGAUGAGUAAGGAUAGUUGGAUGAACUAAUGUUAAAUUGUCGAACGUUAUUCAAUAUUUAAUUAUAUGAGAUUAAUGUUAUAUGAUGUUGUCGUUGACUAAUGACUAAGUUGUAUGUGAUGCCCACAGGUGCCAC